rnacentral:rRNA from 1 species
UGGUAGUCCGUACGAGCGCACCCUAUCCUUAGUUGCCAGCGAGUAUGUCGGGAACUCUAGGGAGACUGCCGGUGACAAACCGGAGGAAGGUGGGGACGACGUCAAGUCAUCAUGGCCCUUAUGGGCAGGGCUACACACGUGCUACAAUGGCCGGCACAGAGGGCUGCGAAGUCGCAAGGCGGAGCGAAUCUCAGAAAACCGGUCGUAGUCCGGAUUGCAGUCUGCAACCCGACUGCAUGAAGUUGGAAUCGCUAGUAAUCGCGGAUCAGAAUGCCGCGGUGAAUACGUUCCCGGGCCUUGUACACACCGCCCGUCACACCAUGGGAGUGGGCUGUACCAGAAGUAGGUAGUCUAACCUUCGGGGGGACGCUUACCACGGUGUGGUUCAUGACUGGGGUGAAGUCGUAACAAGGUAGCCCUAGGGGAACCUGGGGCUGGAUCACCUCCUU